GAGGCAAAUAUGAUUUCAUUAAUAAUAGUGGAAUUACAAGGCCCACUAGCUAGUAAUAUACAAGCCUAGCAGGCAACAGCAAGCCCAAUUAAGAUCUAAAAGAAAAAAUGAUCCUGGACUGUCCAAGCCCAUGACAGUUGAAACCCUAGUUGGAGUUGGCACUGCACUUGAGCUAGAGGAGCUUGGACAAGUCACGAAGGCAGCAAACGUAAGUCACCAUAACAAGCAUCACCCAGAGUCUUCAAGAGAGACGAACUGGAGCUAGGAACCAAAGCAAAAUGAAACUCACGACCAUGGAAAUGCCAAAGACCACAUAGGAGCUUGGCAGAACUCUCAAGCAGUCUCAUCCUCUUGUAACCGUUUAGGGACAGAAUAACUAUUCAAGGUGCCUAAAAUCUCUGAGAUAACCAACCUUGGCUCCAUGCUCUCACCUGCAAAAAUAGAGUAUAGGAAACACCGAUCAACCACACGCAGUAGACCCAAAGCAAAUCCUUUCUAUUUUGCACAAAUCUACCACUUAAAAGAACAAUAAAAAUGAAUUAUUUACAUCCCAAAUGAGAGGUGGGGAGGGGAAACCCUCACCUUCUCCUGUUCGGAAGGGGUAAGGGAAGCCUCUUAUAGACAGAAAAAACGCUCUAAGAGAAUUGGGAGGAAGGAGAAACUGAGAAGAAACUAUAUCUCUAAAAUCCUAGAGAAAAAGAG
rnacentral:misc_RNA from 1 species